AGAGCUGUAGGUUAGGGGAUAGAGCAUCUGCUUCUCGUGCAGAAGGCCCUGGGUUCAAUGUCUGGCGCCUCCA